GACGAACGCUGGCGGCGUGCCUAAUACAUGCAAGUAGGACGCAGUUGCGAACGGGUGAGUAACGCGUAGGUAACUACCUAUUAGAGGGGGAUAACUAUUGGAAACGAUAGCUAAUACCGCAUACUCGUAGAUGGACCUGCGUUGUAUUAGCUAGUAGGUAGGGUAAUGGCCUACCUAGGCAACGAUACAUAGCCGACCUGGGAGGGUGAUGGGGCACAAGGGGAAUGGGAAACGGCCCAGACUCCUACGGGAGGCAGCAGUAGGGAAGCUUCGGCAAUGGGGGGAAACCUGACCGAGCAAAGGCGCGGGAGUGAAGAAGGUUUUCGGAUCGUAAAGCUCUGUUGUUAAGGAAGCGGUACUUAACCAGAAAGGGACGGCUAACUACGUGCCAGCAGCCGCGGUAAUUC
rnacentral:rRNA from 1 species